CGGACUUACUGGCUCUCUCUCAAGACCAUCCGCUGCUCCUUCCAUGGUCUCCCCUCCUCCUAAUGAACUCACAAGGAGAAUCUCAUCUGCUGAUACUACAGGACAGUGUGGAGCUGGUGGCCUGAAGUCUUUCAGGAGAUCUUGGUCAGUUGAGGACCUAUCGCAAUCGACUAGAGACCUCUAAUGGGACUCAUGGGCUCAAGGAACUAGACAUAGCUACAUCUCUG